AUGUCCCUACGGGAGGCAGCAGUGGGGGAUAUUGCACAAUGGGGGGAACCCUGAUGCAGCGACGCCGCGUGGGUGAAGAAGCGCCUCGGCGCGUAAAGCCCUGUCAGCAGGGAAGAAAAUGACGGUACCUGAAGAAGAAGCCCCGGCUAACUACGUGCCAGCAGCCGCGGUAAUACGUAGGGGGCAAGCGUUAUCCGGAUUUACUGGGUGUAAAGGGAGCGUAGACGGCCAUGCAAGUCUGAUGUGAAAACCCGGGGCUCAACCCCGGGACUGCAUUGGAAACUGUGCGGCUGGAGUGUCGGAGG
rnacentral:rRNA from 1 species